AGAUCAUUUCAAAGAAGGAAAACAAGAACUUAAUGCUGCUGUGACCAAAGGCUGAAGUUCUCCACAGGAUGCUGCUCACUCCUAUACUCCAGCGCUGUAUUUUCACAAGGAGAUAAUGGA
rnacentral:snoRNA from 1 species